GACGGGACCGCACAAGCAGCGGAGCGUGUGGUUUAAUUCGAUGCUACACGAAGAACCUUACCAGGGUUUGACAUGUAAGUGGUAGUGAUCUGAAAAGUGAACGACCCUUCGGGGAGCUUUACACAGGUGCUGCAUGGCUGUCAUCAGCUCGUGUCGUGAGAUGUUCGGUUAAGUCCGCUAACGAGCGCAACCCUCACUGUGUGUUAUACGUGUCACACGGGACUGCCGGUUCUAAGCCGGAGGAAGGCGAGGAUGACGUCAAGUCAGCAUGGCCUUUAUAUCCUGGGCUACACACACGCUACAAUGGUCUGUACAACAGGUUGCCAAACCGCGAGGUGGAGCCAAUCCCUAAAACAGGCCUCAGUUCAGAUUGCAGGCUGCAACCCGCCUGCAUGAAGCCGGAGUUGCUAGUAACCGCAGGUCAGCUAUACUGCGGUGAAUACGUUCCCGGGUCUU
rnacentral:rRNA from 1 species